rnacentral:misc_RNA from 1 species
CUUACGUUAAAGUGAUCUUCACACAUGAAAGCAUUAGUACUCGAUGCUAUAUCUUUUGGGUUUCUACGAGCGAGAUUUAACCACUUUGUCCGUAUCUCCGUCUCCUUUGGAAUGCUCACAAACAUUUUGUGCGGUGUUUUAACAGAUGUAUUUUUACAUUGUGGCACCGCGCACCAUUUAUAAGUCAUUUUGUAAUGGCAAAACUUUAUAAAAAACUACGUUAUUGUUGUGUAGUAUGAUUAUAACAGCUAGUUUACAAGCAGGUGACGUCACAUCAGGCUCUCAGUUUGAAAUUACGACGACAAGAACAAGUUACUAUAAUGGAAGCAGAUUUUAUAAAAGCAAAUAGCAGUAAUUUGCCCAAAAUUGACGUGGUUAUGUUGAGUGUAUUUUUUGCAUCUAACAAUUUCUGUUCGACAGAAUUCUGUAAUGACAAAACUUCCAUUAGUUCAUCACAAACAUCUUACGGAGAUGAUGCUAUAAGUUUUGUGCAGCUGAAGCGUGACGGCAAACUCUGUGUCAUUAAAUGUAAAAUAUGUCCAGAAUAUAAAGUGCAUGCCAACGUAUAUGCAGUCACUUUGACUGUUGACGAAGAAGACGGUGUCAUAUGUUCCUUUGAAUGCCAUGGUUGUGUUGCUCCUCAAGGAUGUUGCAAGCAUGCAAUGGCUUUCAUAAUGUGGAUUCAUCGGAGAAGUGAAGAACCAUCAUCAUCUUUUACUGAGUGUUAUUGGAGAAAAUCAAAACUAUCACAAAUUAGGACAAACCCUAAAUAUAUGACAGUUAAACACAUGUUCAAGAGUAGCCCUAGUUUGCCAUCAGAUCCAAGUGUUCUUGUGGAAUUUUUGGAAGAGGCAAAGAAAAGAAAACUAAACUGUAAAUUAUUAAAAUAUUAUGAACCCAAUUCUUCUUUCCACAAUCCAGAAAAUGUAUAAAUGCA